ensembl:lncRNA
CAAAAGUAAAGAAAUCUUGGACCGGUAAGAUCAACACACCAUUUUUAGAAUUUCUUUGAAAAUCAGUUUCGGAAGGUUUUAAUUAAUGUUUGUGAAACUCUGAGAUUUAUCUGUGGAUCUCAUUCUAUUUAUUUGUCAAUAUGUUUUAUUUUUGUUAAUCUCAUCAAAAUCAUUUAUUUGUGGAUCAUAAUCUGUUUAUUUGGAAUAACGCAACAAUUCUAUCUCCAUAAAUAAUGACCAGUCGUACACUCUGGGAAACACCUUCUAUUCCCCAAUGCAGAGCUCAGCUCUGAUACUUUCAGUUUCGCUAAACGUGUAGUGUGUGCGAAGUUUGGACGCCGAGAACAAAAGAGCCAUUCAGAACUUCACCAAUGUCGAAUCUUUUAAUGCUGCUGUCAUUUUGCUUCGUCUAUCAUAGCGGAGCCUCCACUGUGAAAUUCAAAAAUGGAGACAAUGCCACACUGACAUGUAAAUAUGAGGCCAAAGACAUUUCAGAUAUUCGCUUCAUUCGACAAGGAAAACCAGUACACUUUGCUGACAUCCCCAUUUGUGAAGAAUAUACAAAAGGAAGUGGCCGAGUAUGUAAAAAAGAAGCAUGUGACAUCAUCAUCAAGGAUCUGAUCUUCAGUGACGCUGGGAAUUACAUUUUUAGAUUCAAUUACAAAAAUGCUCUGACGGAUCUGACGUACCAACUUCAUAUUUAUGAUGAGAUUUGUGUGAACAUCGGUGAGCAGCUGAAGUUAGAUGUUCUGUUGUCAGAAGCUGAUAAAGUGCAGCAUCAGAGCAGCGGAAGCAAAAAGUGGAAGGAGGUUUGGAAGAGAGGCCAUGGUGUUCAAAAUGAUCAGCUGAAUGAUAGAGAUGGAAACUUGAUCAUCAAUAACUUUACAGCCAGUGAUUCAGGAACAUACAAAGUUUUGGGCUCUGAAGGAGAAACCUUGAUCACAGUGACUGUUGAAGGUGAGAGAAGCUCAGAAUAUCUGGAAAUACUAUUUUUUAAAGUAGUAGUAGUAUGUUUAUUCACAAUGAGCUCUGUUUUUUCUCACUUUGUUUGACUGACCUUUGAAUAUCUUGUACUGAAUCUACAGGAUCUCGUUCAGGUGGUAAACUCAAGAGUGAUGCUGAACAACACAGUAAGUAAAACAGGAGGCAAUGAGAGCAUUACAAUAUAUUUAAAAAGUGAGCUUGAAACUAUAAUAUUUGUCUCCCCUUCUGCUGUAGAGCACUGGAUUGGACCGGCUGGGCUGCCUGGGUUCGUUUGGGUGGUUCUUUGCCUUUUUUAAAAGAAGAAAGAUACACCGAUGUCUGGAUGGAGGUCUGAGAAGGUUCUACAUUUGAUGAAGAACCAUCUUCAUGAAUAUUAAAAAUUAUGUUCUAGAAUAUUAAUGCAAUCCAGAUGUGCUACAUCUGCCAUAUUGUCAUGUGACUUAUUUCCGAAAGUAGUAGGACAUCCAGGUACUUUCUGACAGCUGUUUUAUAAGUAUUACAAGGUUUUAUUGCCAUCUGAAUCCAUAAUGUCAGUGUGUUUCUCCCACCACCCGCAUAUUUCCCUGACUGAAUUACCUACUGUUUUUUUUUUUUUUUGAACAAACAAAAAGGUGAUGUGGUAAUUUCACUGCUGCCAAAUCCACAUCCGAGUUUACAAGAUGGGAUCAAUUUUAAAUUCACUGUUUAAAUUCUUUUUGGCAGCUCCAUAUGAUAACUGUUGUGCUUUACUGUAAUUUGCAUUAAAGAUCUACACUUUUAUUACUGAAAGAUAUAUAGCAUAUUAUUGCACCAAAGGACAUGUAAUGCAAUUUUUAAUGUUUGUUUGUAUGUAUGUAUGUAUGUAUGUAUGUAUGUAUGUAUGUAUUUAUUUAUUUAUGUAUGUCUUUUAAUGUCACUUUAAGUCCCUCAGUUGUCCACCAGAGGUCUCACUCCACAGAGUAUUGACUAUUGGACUAUAGUUCCCAGGAAGCCUCAUACCUGGACUAAUUUCCGCUCACCUGAUCGUUGCACUCAGAUUAUUUAUAAACUGUGUUUUGCUCUCUCUUCGUGAAGUCUUGUUUAUUGUGUAUCUUGCCUGUGUAUCGACACUGUCUGGACUUUUACUUCACAACCCUAGCUGCCUGCCCUAGUCUGUUGUUUGUUGUGGACUGGACUUGUGUUUGUUUGCUGCCUGCCCUGAUCCUCUGCCUGGGUUUGACCACGCUUACUGUUUUGCCUCUGACAAUCCUGGUAUUUCACCCACUGCCUGUUUGUACUUUGAGACUGCUUCCACUAGAUGAACCACACAUGGAUUCCACUCAACCAGAGUCUGUGUUACAAUCAGGCUGAAACGAUUUUGUCUAAAAUAGAACGACUCAUAUGUGGAAUCUAUCAGUCAGGAGCUGCACAAUGUUUGACAGAUUUUACACUGCUAUUGUCAAUUAAGUAAACAAACUGAUUAAAGCUAUUCUUUUUCUGAUGUUUAGAAUUAUACCUUUUAUUAUGUUAAAGAAAAAAAAAUUGUACAGUCUUUACUGUGUGGGCCAAAUGUGUAAUUCUCUAACCUGCUAAAAACAGUAAACAUUUACAAGUUCUCUUAUAUUACAAAAUAAAUAAAAAAUAAAUGAGAGCA